GCUUGAAAUUGUCGGGAG
rnacentral:snRNA from 1 species